rnacentral:rRNA from 1 species
CAGUCGCCGCGGGAAUACGUAGGGGGCGAGCGUUGUCCGAAGUUACUGGGCGUAAAGAGCGCGUAGGCUGGUCUUUAAGUGAGUGGUGAAAGGUUCGGGCUCAACCCGGACACUGCCUUUCAUACUGGGGACCUUGAGUGUGGGAGAGGCGAGUGGAAUGGUCGGUGUAGCGGUGAAAUGCGUAGAUAUCGAUCGGAACACCCAUGGCGAAGGCAGCUCGCUGGCCUAACACUGACGCUGAGGCGCGAAAGCGUGGGGAGCGAACAGGAUUAGAUACCCGAGUAGUCCCUGUCUCUUAUAC